AAAAUAAAAUUAAAAAAAAUAUUAUCAUCUGCAUGAAGGGAACUAGUAUUACUUUUCACAGGCCCCUCUUUUUUUUAAUGAAAGGCAAAAUGGCUCUAGAAACUCCAGGGUAGCCUAUCUAGGAGCCCAUUUGAUGUACUAAGACUAGGCGAAACAAUAUAAUCUUUGAUUCUGUUGCUUUUAAUUGGCUGGUAAAGAAGGUUCUAGGAAAAUUUUUAAAUAAAUGAGUACCAUGUUCAUUGUUGGACAUAAAAAAAAAGGGCAAAUUGAACCACAGAGUUCAAAAUUUUGCAUUGUUGGCAAUUUUCCACGGUAAUAUGAUAUGCCAAUGCAUGAUGACCCUGA
rnacentral:misc_RNA from 1 species